CCUACGGGUGGCAGCAGUGGGGAAUAUUGGACAAUGGGGGGAACCCUGAUCCAGCGACGCCGCGUGAGUGAAGAAGUAUUUCGGUAUGUAAAGCUCUAUCAGCAGGGAAGAAAGACAUGACGGUACCUGCCUACGAAGCCCCGGCUACCUACGUGCCCGCAGCCGCGUUACUACGUAGGGGGCAAGCGUUAUCCGGAUUUACUGGGUGUAAAGGGAGCGUAGACGGCGAUGCAAGUCUGAAGUGAAAGGCGGGGGCCCACACACGGGACUGCUGUGGAAACUGUAUGGCUGGAGUGCAGGAGAGGUAAGUGGAAUUCCUAGUGUAGCGGUGAAAUGCGGAGAUAUUAGGAGGAACACCAGUGGCGAAGGCGGCUGACUGGACUGUAACUGACGUUGAGGCUCGAAAGCGUGGGGAGCAAACAGGAUUAGAUACCCCGGUAGUC
rnacentral:rRNA from 1 species